rnacentral:rRNA from 1 species
GAUGAACGCUGGCGGCGUGCCUAAUACAUGCAAGUCGAGCGAACGGACGAGAAGCUUGCUUCUCUGAUGUUAGCGGCGGACGGGGGAGUAACACGUGGAUAACCUACCUAUAAGACUGGGAUAACUUCGGGAAACCGGAGCUAAUACCGGAUAAUAUUUUGAACCGCAUGGUUCAAAAGUGAAAGACGGUCUUGCUGUCACUUAUAGAUGGAUCCGCGCUGCAUUAGCUAGUUGGUAAGGUAACGGCUUACCAAGGCAACGAUGCAUAGCCGACCUGAGAGGGUGAUCGGCCACACUGGAACUGAGACACGGUCCAGACUCCUACGGGAGGCAGCAGUAGGGAAUCUUCCGCAAUGGGCGAAAGCCUGACGGAGCAACGCCGCGUGAGUGAUGAAGGUCUUCGGAUCGUAAAACUCUGUUAUUAGGGAAGAACAUAUGUGUAAGUACCUGUGCACAUCUUGACGGUACCUAAUCAGAAAGCCACGGCUAACUACGUG